ACCCUCUCUAGACUCAUCUCCCUCAAAAUUCCCACCACCCCACCACCGUAUCACCGGCCACCCACUACCACCGGCGUUCUUCAAGUAGGCGACGCCGACCAGUUAAACCACCGGAGCAGCCACCAGUCGCCGCCGACUGAACAAUGAGCUAGGAAAACUGGAACCAUCCUAUGGGAAGGGGUGAGCAGUAACUGGUGAACAGGGUGAAAAGAGUGAGAAGGAAAAUGCGAUCUUUGAGUGCGGAAGGGUGAGGAGGACAUUGGGUAGCUUUUGGUAUCUGUUAUAAGUUGGAUUUUCUUUCAGCUGCAUUAACCCAAGUAAAAUGGAUCAUUUUUAUAGAUAAAAAGUUGAAUCUUUAUAAUCCAAAUGUGCCACUGCACACAUAUCUCUCUCCGUGUGUGUGUCUGUUCGUGUGCACGUGCAUUUUCCUUUUCAGUUCAAGGUUCAUAAUGUACUAGAGUGAAUUGAAUUUGUUUGUAUAUUCGUCUUUGCUAUUCCUUUUCUUCCGCACUUUGUUUCUUUCUUUUGUAAUUAGCUUGUAAAUUUUGGUUGAACGUGUUGAGAUUUUGACGGACUAAAUUUGCAGGAAAACAGCUCUAAUGCUGGCAUUAUGCAAACUCUUAAGGGAAAAAUACAGUCUUGCUCGAAUCACUUAGAAGAUAGGAUAUCUUUAGGGAUUCCUAUUAGUAAAAGGGUUAAAAAUGAUCAAUGGAUUCAGACAAGUAGUUGUUCUUUAUUCAUGACUUAUGUUUAACCCAUAGCUUUGUCAAAUUGCCUAUGUUGGUCAAGAUAAAGGAUGAUAGUCAAUAUUUACCUGAACUUGUGAAUACUGUCAUAACCAAAAUAAUAUAUUUGUUCAAAAAUGCUAGAAAUCAUUUCUGGUAUGGCUGUUUGGUAUAGUCUUGAGUCUGUAAUAAUGAAAGGAUGCGGGAAGUAACUGAUUCGUUCUCUAUUGGGGUUCUGUGCGCAUUAAGUGUAAUGAUUUAGGAUUAUAUUCAACUGAUAAGGGAGAAAUUACAAUAUAGCAAUUCUCAACUUAGGGAAAACAUAGGAAAUGAUAGAUAAAAAAAGAGAAAACAGAAAAGGGAGACUCCAGAGUGCUAAAACUUUAACUAAGAAAAAUAAGAUGCAAGUUCUUUCAUGCCCCAUUCUAGAGUUCCUCUGUCGUUUAUAUCCAUUACCCACAACAACAGAGAAUUUGGGUGAAGACUCUACUGUGAGUUUGAGAGCCUUAGCAACACGAGGGUGUAUAAAAUUAUCGGAGCUGCCCCCAUCAAUUAGAAUCUGAGCCGACAAGCCCUUAAUAUUACAUGUAAAAUGAAGAGUAGUGGGGUGAGAACCACCGUUAAGGGCUUGGGAACUGAUGGCGAGGAAAGAUGGUUUCUCGGAGGAAGCGGAUAAAUUGGUGUCCGGAGGAGGUCAAUCAAUAUCAAACAAUUGAUAUUUGAUAUUUUUUGCUCUCGUAAUCAAUGCAUACUUAGCUAAGAUGAGGGGUGAGGUAGUACCUUAAGAUGAAGUCUUCAAGAUUACUCACAUGAGGAAGACGAAGAACACCGAUGGUACAAUGGAUUGAGCCAAGGGCUCAGCGAACCAAUAUCGAGUUUCAACAACACUUCGGGAAAUAUUGUGCCAGUCAGCCAACCGGCGCUCCGAUGACCCAAGAGAUAAUUGAGCACCAGUGGAUGGAGAAAGUUGCUCCCCCGACAAGGUAUGAGGCAGUUUAUGGGAUACGUAAUCGAGCCUGUUGUCAGUUCUCGUUGUUCCUUCAAGGCAUAAGUGCUACUUCUGAGGGGGCAAUGGAUCCUAAGGAGUACCAAGAAAUUAGGCAGCAAGUUGCUCAAUUAACAAGCACACUUAAUGCCUCGGAGGCAAGGAUGUUGGGUAUGCAGGCCUAAAUAGACAGCUUACUCAAUUCGGGGGCGUUUUUUCGGGGAUACUCGUAGGUCACAGACCACCCACCUCCCGACCUUCCCAAUGUAGACGACGUAGGUCACAGGCCAACAUAGAUCAUGGUCUUGUCGAUGAGGAUAGUGAGGAGGAUUCAGAUCACGUCUCUAACACCCAACGUUGACUUUUUUGAAUUGUAUACUUUUGGAUUUUA